rnacentral:rRNA from 1 species
UACAGAGGGUGCGAGCGUUAAUCGGAAUUACUGGGCGUAAAGCGUGCGUAGACGGUUAUUUAAGUCGGGUGUGAAAGUCCUGGGCUUAACCUGGGGACUGCAUUUGAUACUGAUUGGCUUGAAUUCGGGAGAGGAUAGCGGAAUUCCCAGUGUAGAGGUGAAAUUCGUAGAUAUUGGGAAGAACACCGGUGGCGAAGGCGGCUAUCUGGACCGACAUUGACGCUGAGGCGCGAAAGCGUGGGGAGCAAACAGG